CGGGUACAGAGCCAUCGCUUCGGCGCAACUCUUGUCAUGGUCGCGCGAAUAUUCACCCAUGUUUUUGCGUACUUCUUGUUUCCUUGGUGGGCUCGCCCGCCAUUGGACAACCAUUAAACCUUUUGUAAUUGCAGUCAGCGUCAGUAAAAUGUAAUCGUUACAACUUUCAACAACGGAUCUCUUGGUUCUGGCAUCGAUGAAGAACGCAGCGAAAUGCGAUAAGUAGUGUGAAUUGCAGAAUUCAGUGAAUCAUCGAAUCUUUGAACGCACAUUGCGCCCAUGGUAUUCCAAUGGGCAUGCCUGUUCGAGCGUCAUUUGUACCCUCAAGCUUUGCUUGGUGUUGGGCGUUUGUCUUUCGAGACUCGCCUUAAAAAGAUUGGCAGCCGGCAUACUGGUUUCGGAGCGCAGCACAAAUUGCGGUCUGUUCCUGAAUGUUGACGUCCAUGAAGCCCCCAUUAUCACUUUUGACCUCGGAUCAGGUAGGGAUACCCGCUGAACUUAAGCAUAUCAAUAAGCGGAGGAA
rnacentral:rRNA from 1 species